ACUCUAUACGAUGGAUAUCUUGGCUCUUGAAUCGAUGAAGAACGCAGCGAAAUGCGAUAAGUAAUGCGAAUUGCAGAACUCUGUGAGUCAUCAAAUCUUUGAACGCAUAUUGCACUUCCUUUUGGGAGUAUACUUGUUUGAGUGUAGUUAAAGGUUUCUAUCUAUAAUAGAUGAAUAUUGGAGUUAGUAUACUAUACUUUCUCUAAAAUGAAUAUAUUCGUAUAUAAGAAUAGUAUUUGAGGUAGUUGCCACAAGUACUAUAUUAUAUAAGAAUAUAUUUAAUAAGAUCUAUCUCAAAUCAAGUAAGAUUACCUGCUGAAUUGAAGCAUCUAAGUAAGCAGAGGAAAAGAAAAUAACAAUGAUUCUCUUAGUAACGGCGAGUGAAUAGGGAAUAGCCCAAGCUUAAAUCAGCUUUGCUGAGUUGUAGUGUGUAGAAUCUAACUUUUGUUCAGUGUUAAUAUCAUAUAAUUUGGUUGGAAAACCAAGUAAUAGAAGGUGAUAACCCUGUAAUAUGAUAUGACUGAAUGUUGGAUUCUUGGAGUCGAGUUGUUUGGGAAUGCAACUCGAAGUGGGUGGUGAACUCCAUCUAAGGCUAAAUAUGUUCAAGAGACCGAUAGUGAACAAGUACCGUGAGGGAAAGAUGAAAAGAACUUUGAGAAAAGAGUGAAAUAGUACUUGAAAUCGUAUAGAGGUUAAGCAGAGUUGGUGGAUAUUGUAUUUGAAUGUACUAUAAUCAAUUGAUUAUGGCUUAUUCUUAUACAUAGUAUAAUUUGUGUGUGAAUUGGUUAAUAUUAAAACGAAUAUGCGCAUAAAUGAUAUAAAUCCUACAUCUCUGUCCCGUCUUGAAACACGGACCAAGGAGUCUAUCCUGUAUGCAAGUUGUAUGGUGUAAAACCAAUAAGCGUAAUGAAAGUAAGAGGUGUGAAAGUUGUAAAAGUGUCAACACCUGCCGAUCUAAAUUCUUUGAUGAAAGAUUCGAGUAUGAGCAUAUAGGGUGGGACCCGAAAGAUGGUGAACUAUGCCUGAAUAGGACGAAGCCAGGGGAAACUCUGGUGGAGGUUCGAGUGGAUUCUAACGUGCAAAUUGAUCUUUAAAUUUGGGUAUAGGGGCGAAAGACUAAUCGAACCAUCUAGUAGCUGGUUCAUUCCGAAAUUUCCCUCAGGAUAGCUGCAACUUAUGAAAUAGUUUUAUGAGGUAAAGCGAAUGAUUAGAGGUUUCUGGGAUGGAAUAUCCUGGACCUAUUCUCAAACUUUCAAUGGGUAAGAAAAGUGUGAUGUUUAAUUAAUCAUACUAUUUGAAUAUGAGUUGCAAGUGGGCCAUUCCGGGUAAGCUGGACUGGCAAUGCGGGAUCAACCGAACGCUAUGUUACGGCGCCAGAUUGUUCGCUCAGUUGGAUGUAAAAGGUGUUAGUUCAUCUAGACAGCAGGACGGUGGCCAUGGAAGUCGGAAUCCGCUAAGGAGUGUGUAACAACUCACCUGCCGAAUGAAGUAGCCCUGAAAAUGGAUGGCGCUUAAGCGAACAGCCUAUACAUAGCCAUUAUUGUUAGGAUUAUACAAUAAUGAGUAGGAAUGCGUGAUGAAUGUUGUGAAGUAUGAUGUGUGAACAUGUAUGGAACAUUCAUUAGUGCAGAUCUUGGUGGAAGUAGCAAAUAUUCAAAUGAGAUCUUUGAAGACUGAAGUGGAGAAAGGUUCCAUAGGAAUAGUGAUUAUCUAUGGGUUAGUCGAUCCUAAGAGAUAGGUGAAAUCCAUUGAAAAGUCAAUUUCGAUUGACAUUUAUCGAAAGGGAAUCAGGUUAAUAUUCCUGAACCAAAGAGAAGGGUAAACGGUAACGUAUAGGGGUCUCAAGACAUUGAUGUUAUUCCCAGGAAGAGUUUUCUUUUCUUGUUAACAAAUGGGCAGUGCUUGGAAUCGAUUCAGUCGGCGAUAAGCAUUGUUAUUUGGUAAAGUACUACUAUUUUGUGUAGUAUCUGGUGCAAUGACAUGAAUCCUUGAAAAUUGAGACUUUUGUUUUCCCGAAGCUUUGGUCGUACUAAUAACCGCAUCAGGUCUCCAAGGUGAAUAGCCUCUAGUUAAUAGAAUAAUGUAGAUAAGGGAAGUCGGCAAAUUAGAUCCGUAACUUCGGGAUAAGGAUUGGCUCUGAGGGCUAAGUGGGUUUAAGGUGUUAAUAGUAUAAGUUUGAUAUGGGAUUGAGUGUUUUGAGUUGCUUCGGUGAUUUGAAAUAUUUGGUUCUAAUGUCUUAGUUGUCUAUUUUCAUCUACCACUAUGAAUAGCUAACUCAGAACUGGUACGGACAAGGGGAAUCCGACUGUUUAAUUAAAACAAAGCAUUGUGAUGGUGUGAAAGAUAUGUUGACACAAUGUGAAUUCUGCCCAGUGCUCUGAAUGUGAAAGUGGCGUAAUUCAAGCAAGCGCGGGUAAACGGCGGGAGUAACUAUGACUCUCUUAAGGUAGCCAAAUGCCUCGUCAUCUAAUUAGUGACGCGCAUGAAUG
rnacentral:rRNA from 1 species